GACGCUGGCGGCGUGCCUAACACAUGCAAGUCGAACGAGAACGGGUUAAAGUUUACUUUAACUGUCAGCUAAGUGGCGCACGGGUGAGUAAUAUAUAGUUAAUCUGCCCCAAAGAAGAGAAUAAUUGUUGGAAACGACUUGUAACUCUCUAUAUGCCUUUAUCACAUAAGUGAGCAAGGGAAACAUUUAUGGCUUUGGGAUGAGACUGUACGGUAUCAGUUAGUUGGUAAGGUAAUGGCUUACCAAGACUAUGACGCCUAACUGGUUUGAGAGGAUGAUCAGUCACACUGGAACUGAGACACGGUCCAGACUCCUACGGGAGGCAGCAGUGGGGAAUAUUGCACAAUGGAGGAAACUCUGAUGCAGCAACGCCGCGUGGAGGAUGACACAUUUCGGUGCGUAAACUCCUUUUAUAUGAGAAGAUAAUGACGGUAUCAUAUGAAUAAGCACCGGCUAACUCCGUGCCAGCAGCCGCGGUAAUACGGGGGGUGCAAGCGUUACUCGGAAUCACUGGGCGUAAAGAGCAUGUAGGCGGAUAGAUAAGUUGGAAGUGAAAUCCUAUGGCUUAACCAUAGAACUGCUUCCAAAACUGUCUAUCUAGAAUAUGGGAGAGGUAGAUGGAAUUUCUGGUGUAGGGGUAAAAUCCGUAGAGAUCAGAAGGAAUACCGAUUGCGAAGGCGAUCUACUGGAACAUUAUUGACGCUCAGAUGCGAAAGCGUGGGGAGCAAACAGGAUUAGAUACCCUGGUAGUCCACGCCCUAAACGAUGCACACUAGUUGUUGCCUUGCUAGACAAGGCAGUAAUGCAGUUAACACAGUAAGUGUGCCGCCUGGGGAGUACG
rnacentral:rRNA from 1 species